rnacentral:misc_RNA from 1 species
GAUGAAGAACGUAGCGAAAUGGGAUAAGUAAUGUGAAUUGCAGAAUUCAGUGAAUCAUCGAAUCUUUGAACGCACCUUGCGCCCUUUGGCCAUUCCGAAGGGCAUGCCUGUUUGAGUAUCAUGAACACCUCAACUCUUCAUGGUUUUCCGUGAUGAGCUUGGACUUUGGGGGUCUUGCUGGCCUAUGGUCAGCUCCUCUAAAAUAAAUCAGCUUGCCAGUGUUUGGUGGGUAUCACAGGUGUGAUAACUAUCUACGCUUGUGGUUUUCCACCAGGUAACCUUCAGCAGUGGAGGUUCGCUGGAGCUCACAGAUGUGUCUCUCCUCAGUGAGGACAGCUCUUUGAAUGUUUGAUCUCAAAUCAGGUAGGACUACCCGCUGAACUUAAGCAUAUCAAUAAGCGGAGGA